rnacentral:rRNA from 1 species
UACGUAGGGGUGCAAGCGUUGUCCGGAAUUAUUGGGCGUAAAGAGCUCGUAGGCGGUUCUGUUGACGUCGCUGUGAAAACCCGGGGCUCAACCCCGGGCCUGCAGCCGAUACGGGCAGACUAGAGGUUCGGCAGGGGAGACUGGAAUUCCUGGUGUAGCGGUGAAAUGCGCAGAUAUCAGGAGGAACACCGGUGGCGAAGGCGGGUCUCUGGGCCAUAACUGACGCUGAGAAGCGAAAGCAUGGGGAGCGAAACAGG